UACGUAGGGUGCGAGCGUUAAUCGGAUUUACUGGGCGUAAAGCGUGCGCAGGCGGCCCGUUAAGACAGGUGUGAAAUCCCUGGGCUCAACCUAGGAAUUGCGCUUGUGACUGGCGGGCUAGAGUACGGUAGAGGGGGGUGGAAUUCCUGGUGUAGCAGUGAAAUGCGUAGAGAUCAGGAGGAACACCGAUGGCGAAGGCAGCCCCCUGGGCCUGUACUGACGCUCAUGCACGAAAGCGUGGGGAGCAAACAGG
rnacentral:rRNA from 1 species